UACGGAGGGAGCUAGCGUUGUUCGGAAUUACUGGGCGUAAAGCGCGCGUAGGCGGCUUUGUAAGUUAGAGGUGAAAGCCCGGGGCUCAACCCCGGAAUUGCCUUUAAGACUGCAUCGCUUGAAUCCGGGAGAGGUGAGUGGAAUUCCGAGUGUAGAGGUGAAAUUCGUAGAUAUCAGGAGGAACACCUGUGGCGAAAGCGGCUCACUGGACCAUAACUGACGCUGAUGCACGAAAGCUAGGGGAGCAAACAGG
rnacentral:rRNA from 1 species